CCUACGGGAGGCAGCAGUGAGGAAUAUUGGUCAAUGGACGAGAGUCUGAACCAGCCAAGUAGCGUGAAGGAUGACUGCCCUAUGGGUUGUAAACUUCUUUUAUAUGGGAAUAAAAUGUUCCACGUGUGGGAUUUUGUAUGUAUCAUAUGAAUAAGGAUCGGCUAACUCCGUGCCAGCAGCCGCGGUAAUACGGAGGAUUCGAGCGUUAUCCGGAUUUAUUGGGUUUAAAGGGAGCGUAGGUGGAUUGUUAAGUCAGUUGUGAAAGUUUGCGGCUCAACCGUAAAAUUGCAGUUGAAACUGGCAGUCUAGAGUACAGUAGAGGUAGGCGGAAUUCGUGGUGUAGCGGUGAAAUGCUUAGAUAUCACGAAGAACUCCGAUUGCGAAGGCAGCUCACUGGACUGCAACUGACACUGAGGCUCGAAAGUGUGGGUAUCAAACAGGAUUAGAUACCCUGGUAGUC
rnacentral:rRNA from 1 species